AGCCAUUUUGGCUCAAGCCGUGGGUCCAAGUAUC
rnacentral:ribozyme from 1 species